GAUCAUGGCUCAGGAUGAACGCUAGCUACAGGCUUAACACAUGCAAGUCGAGGGGCAGCAUGGUCUUAGCUUGCUAAGGCUGAUGGCGACCGGCGCACGGGUGAGUAACACGUAUCCAACCUGCCGUCUACUCUUGGCCAGCCUUCUGAAAGGAAGAUUAAUCCAGGAUGGCAUCAUGAGUUCACAUCGUCCGCAUGAAGUUAAAGGUUAUUUUCCGGUAGACGAGG
rnacentral:rRNA from 1 species